rnacentral:rRNA from 1 species
GAUGAACGCUAGCUACAGGCUUAACACAUGCAAGUCGAGGGGCAGCAUAAAUCUAGCAAUAGAUUUGAUGGCGACCGGCGCACGGGUGAGUAACACGUAUCCAACCUACCUAUUACUCGGGUAUAGCCUUUCGAAAGAAAGAUUAAUCCCCGAUACGAUAUUGAGUUCGCAUGAAUUUGAUAUGAAAGAUUUAUUGGUAUUAGAUGGGGAUGCGUUCCAUUAGAUUGUUGGUGAGGUAACGGCUCACCAAGUCUUCGAUGGAGAGGGGUUCUGGAGGGAAGGUCCCACACACUGGACGUGAGACACGGUCCAGACUCCUACGGGAGGAAGCAGUGAGGAAUAUUGGUCAAUGGGCGAGAGCCUGACCCAGCCAAGUAGCGUGAGGGAUGACUGCCCUAUGGGUUGUAAACCUCUUUUAUAAGGGAAUAAAACGCUCCACGAGUGGGGCUUUGCAUGUACCUUUUGAAUAAGGAUCGGCUAACUCCGUGCCAGCCGCCGCCGUAA